rnacentral:rRNA from 1 species
CACGUAGGGUGCGAGCGUUGUCCGGAAUUAUUGGGCGUAAAGAGCUCGUAGGCGGUGUGUCGCGUCGGCCGUGAAAACCUGCAGCUUAACUGUGGGCGUGCGGUCGAUACGGGCAUCACUGGAGUUCGGCAGGGGGAGACUGGAAUUCCUGGUGUAGCGGUGAAAUGCGCAGAUAUCAGGAGGAACACCGGUGGCGAAGGCGGGGUCUCUGGGGCCCGAUACUGACGCUGAGGGAGCGAAAAGCGUGGGGGGAGCGAACAGG